CUGUCUGGGGGCCCAGACUAGGAACUGGUUUGACUCCCAACCACAACCUUUUGCGUCAUGCCUUUCCCCCCACUCUCUGAACCUUGCACUUUAUGUCUGUCUUGAGCUGUUAAGAUCUAAGGAUCUAAGAUCUAAGAUCUAGGAUCUAAGAUCAUAAGAUCUAAGAUCUAAGAACACUAAAAUUGAGGUCAGAGUCCUGGGAUUAACACCAGAAUUUGAAGAUUAAAGGCAGAUUUUUAGGAUAAAAGUAAAAUUCCAAGAUUUCAGUCAGUUUUUUUUUAUAUUACAGCUACAAUUCUACAAUCAAACCAAGAAUACUGAAAUCUAAGGCAAUACCCUGAGAUUUGCCAAAAUACUGUGAUUAAAGAAAAAAAUUUGAGAUUAUGCCAAAGUACUAAAAUCAAAAUCAGAAUUCUGAUUCAGAAUUUUCCAGAAUCCAAUGGAAAAGUCAGAAUUCAUAUUAAAAUCUCAAAAAACUGAGAAAAAAAGUUAGAAUUCUGCAUUGAAUUCCUUAAAUAAAAAAAUCACUAAAAUUAAAUAAAUAUCACAAUAUUUGGUCAGUUAAUUCUGAGAUCAGAGUCAAAUCCCUGGAUUAAAUGUCAGAAUUCUGAGCUCAAAGCCAGACUUUUGAAUUUAAAGUCAGAACUCUUCUGAGUACUGCCAUUUUGGGGAUAAAAUCAGAAUUAUUGAAAUUAAAAAAAUUAAUUAAGGAUCAAAGUCAGAUAUUUUGGAUUUAAGACUAAAUUAGACUGAAAAAAAGUUCUAAGAAUUCUUAGAUUGAAAUUAGAAUUUGGACUAAUCAUGUUUUUUCAAAAUGUUACUAUUUUAUUUGAUUUUAUUUCCAGAUUCCUAAGAGGAAAAAACAUCAUGAUAAAAAAUUCUAGAUUGACAAUCUCUUCAUAACUUCAUAAAUUACUAAACCUUUUAUACAGUAUAUAUAUAUCAAACCUUUGUAUUUUGUGGGCUGUUUUUGAGGGCGUAUGUCUUAAGUAGGAUCCUGUUAACUUGGAGGUUGUUUUUUGUAGGGUCCCUUCUGUGGUGUUGUCAGACUCUUUAGGAGUCACAAUUUAAGCCUUUCAGUAACAGGAACUUUCAAUGGACCGAGUUUGAUUUAUUGUGUUUUCAGCAGUCAUUACAGCCUGUUUCACUUCAGAAAUCUACUAAAGCAUUUCCAAACUUUUAAUGCCUAAAAGUCGUUUAUACCCCAAAACAUAUGAAAAUAUGGAUGGAUGGAUUAAAAUGGAUGAAAAACAACAGAAUAAUCAUUUGACUUCACAUCAAUUCUUUGGGGUUUCAAAGUGUGAUAAAUGGACUUUUGUGUUCAGUUAAAGCUGCAGGAAACAAACAGAACUAAAUACACUCAUGACUCUGUGUUGGAGUGGGAUGGGAGGGUUUUAGUGUCUGCGGAGUUGGUGGUCUAUCACGGUCACAUUUGUUUUAGAUUUCAGCCCAGUAAACAAAGUGAGGCAGGCAGACUCACUGGGGCCUCGCUAAAUCAGGCCCAGUCCAACGUCCCAGCCCGUCCCGGUGGAUUCCUCACUCUCUGCUCUGCUGGGAGGCCCCACACAAAAACACAUAGACACAGGCACAGAAUCACACAGAAACACACAGAAACACACAGAUACUCACCCCGGCGUAGUGUCCUUACAACUUUUUUUUAAAGUUUGUUGAUUUGUUUGUUUUUAUUGUCCUUCAGGAACCCAUCUUUCUCUCUGAACUGUUUUUACUUUUUCAGGGCAAAGUCCUCUAAACACUGCAAAGUGUCUGCAAAGUCACACUGCAUUUCUGGAUCUGCCAUUUUAAGACAAUUGCUGUGCAUUUGAUUGUCAAGUACAACCAUAUUGGAGUUUAAAAUAGACAUUUUUAUAAGACUUAAUAUUUUUCAAUGACCGACUGUAACCCUAACUCUAACUGUCACCACAAC